rnacentral:tRNA from 1 species
UUAAUUUCCCUCUUUUACUA